AAGAAGACAGUAAUUAUCGAGGUUCACCUUAAUCUGGGCUACGUCCUCGUUGAGCUCGCCUCAAGUAAGCUCAGAUCUGAGCUACACAAUCAAUUUGGUACAUAAAUUAUCAAGUAAUCCAUGCCAGAGUCUUGACAGGUGUGUAUGUGGAUUUGAAUAUCUUUGAGCAAGUUUCCAUCUUUUCUCUGUUUUCGAUGACUAUUUUAAACUGAUCAAAGAGACAAAGGCCAUAUGCAACUCAUAGGAAGGAGCACCAUCACACUGUACUACAAGAUAUCAUAAGCAAUCAACAACAAGUUCAAGCAAUCAGAACAAGAUAGCAAUUAUCGAGGUUCACCCCAAUCUAGGCUACGAACUCGUUGAGCUCGCCUCAGGGAAGCUCAGAUCUGCACUAGACAAUCAAUUUGGUACAUCAAUUAUCAAGAAAGCUCAGAUAGCUGAAUAGUACAAAGAUACAACGAGAGGGAAAAAGGAGCGGGAAACCAAGAAGUGAUUAACAGAAAACUAACCACACUAAUCAACUAACUAUAGCCGAACCUACAUUACAGUAAUAUUUUUUGUAUAAUUACAAAUACAAUUCUUCCAGAAUUCAUAAAUCGAAGAAAUAUGACAAGUGAGGUUUCAUGUCUCA